rnacentral:tRNA from 1 species
GCCUUCUUAGCUCAGUGGUAGAGCGUUGGUCUCGUAAACAAUCUGUGAUGUGUAUGUUAUAAUUAUCACAGCAAUCCAAGCAAACCAAAGGUCGAGAGUUCAAUCCUCUCAGGAGGCA